UUCACGAGAGAGAGAGAGAGAGAGAGAGUUGCAACUUGAAAGACGCAGAACGUAUCAUGCUUAUUCAUUCCGAUAGUGAGCAAAGUUGCAGUAAACGUGUUCUCCAUGGGCUACUUUCCAUCCGUUGUUCUGAGCACCGGACGGAACGUAACCCAGCGAACGCGUACACUGCAAGACGAAUCGGACGAACGAAACGUCAAGCAAUAUCACAAAGUCACGCCCACGUCGUUUCGACGCUGUCUUUAUCCCCCAACUUCAUGUAAAGUAAACUUUAUUUGAUUUUAUUAGUAUAUUUAUACAGAUAUUCGAAGUAUGUCGUGAUAAAUACUAAGGAAAACAAGAAUAUGCUUAGUGUAUAUUGAAUGGUUCGUCAGGAAAAUGUCACUUCCGGCGAAUGGGCCCUUGGUCGCAUCCCGUAGAGUACACGUCUGGUUGCCUGGCUGCCGCUAAACGUUUAGCGGUAAAGUGAGAAUUCUCAUUGGUCCUGGUCUAGUUACGAGUCAUUGUGAUUGGUCCACGUACUUUGUUUCAAUCGUCGGUGCGGUUGUGAUCCGCCACCUGCCAGACUGAAGAGUCAGAGAGGGACCCAGUCUUGCACAGUUAACACUUAACAAUUUCGUGCAGCCAGACUACUUGGAAGGAAGACGAUAUCGCGCAGCCGCGCUCCAGUUCUGCCAACUUUACUCCUGUUUAAGGCUGUCUCAGGACUUCAAAGGGACUUGAGCAGUGAAUUCAUUACAAAGACCACGUGGCACCAAAAGUUCAAUGAAGUAAAUUUUCUCAUAAUCAGCGAGUUACACAGCAACAGAAUGGAAAAGUGACCUGCAUAGGAGAGCUAAAAAGAAAACCAAAGAGAAUUUAAUAGGCCAUAAAUUUAUAAAUUAUAUCCUUAAACAUAAGGAAGGUAGUAUACUACAUUAAGAGGGCUAAAUGUUACUACCUCCUCAAAUUUGAGGUGACUGUAUGCAGGCAGUUCCCGGUUGUCGGCAGACUCGUUUAUUGGCGAUCCAGUUUUAUGGUGCUUGUUUAAUGCCGUUACAAUCUGCAAUUUAUGACAUCAUAACGCGUAGAGUUCCAGUUAUCUUUACCAUAAGGUGCCAGUAAGAGAGUUCUGGCCCCAUAAAUCACCAUCGUGCGCCUGUCUAAGAGGGUCUCCCUCCAUGCCCAGGAGGGACCUAUCAAAAACCACGCCUGCACCAUACACCAAGAGGCUAUUUCAUGGGAUGUGAUCACCCAGAAUAUGAAGAUCAUCGGGAAGCUUUGGCGCCUGUCGAGCAGGUAACUUCUCAUCCAGCAAAUAAAACCAGCACUGAAUAGGACAUAAGAAUAUCUCUUCCUACGAGUAUGAGAAGACCUGCACCCAACAGUGACACCACCAAUUGCAGUAACUCUACAGAAGAUAAUGCGCCAGAACGAGAUACUCCUGCAGACAAUGAAAAUCAAGCCAGCCAUGACAUCACACAGCAUGACAUAAUAUCCAGCAAUGUCACUGUACAGCUCAGAUCUCGGAGAUUGCAGCUACACAACCAUCAGUGCGGCAGAAGUAGCUUGAGGCCUGUCCCAAGCAAUCAAUGAAAACUUGACUUGCUGCCAUCACCCAAUAGGAGAUUGGCAUGGGGCAGACCCCCUGCUGAUGCCCCCGGAUAUGAGGAGGAAGGACGCCACACCAGUAGUAGUCCACCCUUGGCUUCCUAGCCUAGGGGAUGUCUGGCAGCUCCAGAUGAAAGCUCACUACAGGAGAGAGAACCGAGGAUGUCUGGCAGCUCCAGAUGAAAACUCUCUGAGAGAGAGACACAGACUAUAAUAAUUAUGGUAUCAUAGUAUGCCUGUAAAAACUAUAAUAGAAAUAUACACCAAUCUUGACUAUAUUUGAUAAUGACCUCCAUAGGUGCUCUACUAGCCUGUUGAAGUAGCACAGAAAAGGCCGCUAAAUACAGAAGAAUCUCUACAACCCUAACCCUGCUGAAAUAACCAUUAAUUGAACAUGUUCAUGAACAUGGUACAGUAGAGCUUCAUGAACUCAAUAGUAUUCAUUGAAAACUGCUAAAUUUACAUACACAUGAAAUUGUUAAAAGCCCUUGUCCGUUGGUGGGAUAAUAAAGAAAGCAGCAAGUGCUUCUCCAAGAAUGGCCUCCCCAAGUAUUUUAUCUUGUUCAUACUUGUUCUCGAUGCAGGCAGCAGACCUUAAUGUCACUCGUAAUUGGCUGCUACCUCAAUGUCAUGCUGUAAUGAGCUGCUACUUCUCCAAGACUUUAGCCCUGUCUAGUCAUAACAGUCAUGUCUACUUUCUCCUCAUUGGUCAUUAAUUGUAACUUCCUCUGGUGCUUAGGCUCUCUGCCAGAAGCCUUAGAAGUAAAGCUAGUACUGUACAGGCACAAAUGAGAGAGAUCUGUGAACUGAGUUACUGACUUGCCACUACGGUAUACACACUGUACUGUUGCACAUAUGUAUACUAACAGUGAAAUUCUGUGCAUGUGUUCAUUUUAUUUAGUUUUUUUAAUAAGAUUAUUUUUUUAAAUAUGACGUACCUAAAGUGUAUUAGGAUGAUACAUUGUAGUAGGUAGAUCAUAUCUAAAAUAUGUAGGAUGACAGGAAAAUUAGGGUAUGUAUGUGUAUGUCUGCAGUACAUAGCAUUUUCAUGUAAAAACUAGUGUAUUGUUGUGACUACUUUACAUUUUCUAUGAAGAAAAAAGAUUUAACAUCAUACUGAACUGAUGUCAUCAUUGGGGUUCUCCUUGUUGAACAUCAAUAUUGACAGUGCACAUUUCUUUGGCAGUGCAAGAACAUCUCUGUUUAAAGUGUGAGUUUCUUUGAAAGUGCACAAAAUGAUAGUAGGGUACUCUGCACGUAUCUGCAUACAGCAUCUUAUCAUGAGACAUCCUGUGAGGUUAUCUUAUCUUCUCCUCUGUCUGCUUGGGGAAGACCCGUGUUAGACCUCUUCACUACAUAGUUCAACAAGAGGCUUGAUGUCUACUCUUCAAUUGUCCCCGGUCCGUUCGCCCCAUCUGGUGAACGACUCCCAUCUGCUUACUUCGGACAACCUGGAAGUUUACGCCUUUCCUCCAUUCUCCCUGAUCUCUUCUCUCUGCAGUGCCAAGAGAGAAUCCACUUUCACACAUUCCACAUUACAACCUUCUCUGCCAUCCUCAUGUGGAGAGGUACCACUAAUCGAUAGGAUUUUAUCGCCUCAUGUCUUGAAGUCUGUCCAGUAUCUCUUUUGAGCGAGAAAACUUUCUCGGAGAGUAGAGACUCAAUGUCCGGCUGCCUCAGAAGAUCUUUUUCAGCCAUUUAUAAGGGCAAAUGAGCCGUAUGCUUGGGUUGAUGUUAUCGAUGGGAUUUCUCUCCACUCAGAGUUUCUGUUUAGUAGAUAAUGAUCCUAAUCUUUCUCAAAACAGAGAAUGUUCUUUCUGUUUCUGCUGUCAAGGCCUACAGGGCUGCCUCAUGAAUAAUUCUUCGUCUGAAAGACAUGGACAUCACUUCAUCCUAAGCAAUUUUGUACACCUAGGGAACUCAAACCUCCUACAUGGGACCUUACUCUGGUGCUGCGUAGUCUUACUUAAGCUGCAUUCAAGCCCGUGUCAAUCAUUUUACAGAGAACUGACUUGAAAACAGUUUUCUUUUUGGGCUUUGCUGCCUUGGAAAGAGUUGGAGAGCUCCAUGGUCAGGAUUAGACAUAAACACAAGGUGUUGGGUUCAGUAGCUUUCAAAUUUGACUUGGGAUUCAAGGCUAAGACCCAAAAUCCCUUUGGUAUCCGAUGACAGAUUUUCUUCAUUACCUGUUCCUUCCAUAAUGGAGUCUGUUACCAGCAACCUUCAUGAGCUAUUGCUUUCCUCCAUCAGAGCACUGUGUUGUUAUAUAAAAAAAAAAAAAAAAGUCUUCACCCACCCUGGUGUUCUAGACUUUUGGGUGUCACAAGUCAGGUCAGGGUGUUCAAGAAUACCUUUUUGAUUUGCUACGUGAGGUGGUUAGGCAAGCCUACUCCUUAUUGUCAAGUUCUGCCACCAAUACUGUGCAUGCAGAAGUACAUGACAUCAAAGGAAUAAGUUCCUCCCAGGCAUUUAAGAACUUGUUUGUUCAUUGAAUUUUGAAUGUUGAUUCCUGGCUACAUCAGACCACUUCUUGGACACUUUUCCUUGGGUCCAGUGGUGGCUGAUCAACAUGUGUAGCAAAUCCUGUGACUGGUGGAUCCGGCGUAAGAUGAUAGCGUGGAGGAGGGAAUGAGUUGGAUGACUAGUUUAUUUUUUUUUUCUUCAAUAUCUACAGGCAUUUUGAAGAAUAGAUACAUCAUACAUUGGAGCUGGCUUGAUGCAGGCGAGUAUUGCAGGCAUACUGUUACAGCACAUUUUGUGUUCCAUACAGAAUAUAAAUCUGCUUCCCAGUAGCUUCAAUUCCUUGCUCCAGCAAGGAGAGUAAGGAGUGGUGAUAAACCCAUUUCAUGUGGCUGACAUGGUUUGUUGCUUCAACAGAUAGAGUGCUCUUUGACUUCCAUUUAUGCAAUGAAUCUGGACUUAGUUCUCUCUGACUUCCAUUUAAGCAAUGAAUCUGGACAUGUUACUUUGUAUUUAAACCCAGUGGACCAACAAACCCAGUGGACUUGGUGUUGGAAUCUGCAUCUUAGAAGAAUGAUCAGGUGUGCCGAACCUCCAGUCAGUUCAGGAUUCUUAUAUCUCCCUCCAGGUGUGAGACUAUACACUUAUGAACGAAUGACAAAUUUUCAGUUAAUUUGUAUUUUUCAUAACUAACAAACGGUCUAUAUCUUAUAAAGGUUCAAGCGUGGCCAUUUAUCUCAUCCACCUCAGCUACAUAUAGGAUUCCAGAUGCCACAGAUGCCUUGCAUUUACCAAUUUUUUUCUAUUGUUUUAACCAAUAUCCAUCUGGUACUAAAAUAUUUAUCAUUAUGGUAAAAGCUCAGGUUUGUUAGCUAUAAAAAAUACAAAAUACAGUUGGAGCUUGGUAAUUCCUGGAGAUAGGGACUACAACUGCCUGCAUUAAGCGAAUACCUGCUAUCACACCCCUCAAAAAAUACUUAGGCAAGAGCCAGACUGCCUAUUUCAAUUGUUAAAAACACCAAGGAGCCCCUACCUAUAUAAAUUCUUAUAGGCUGACUAUUUUAAUUAUAAUUCAAACACCGAAUAGUAUCCUUAAACUAUCGUACGGGUACUCACCAUUGAUCCAGCCUAGCCUAAAUUGAUUGAAGAUGAUACACAUGUAUAUACUGCAAGUUAAGACUAUCGCAAAGGCAAAAACAUCCUCGAAAGCUCCUAAUUAGUAGUAGUAGAAGGAGGGUCUUUGAAAUGGCUUCCGUGCUCAUUAUAGUCAUCUUUUGUUUGUGUUUAAGUUGUAUGUCGCUAAAAUGCCAUGAACCUUUAUGAAUUCUUUCCUAUUUUCAAUUUUCUCCCUUCAUUAUAUUCUCAAGAAAAAAUAUAUUAGCUAAUAAUUCCUUUUUUAUUUUCCGGAUAUGGCUGCUGCAUAAAACUAUAUCUAUUUAUUGAAUAAAUAUAUUUAUGAUAAAAGAAUUAUUUACUGUACUGAUUACAGUACAUUACUGUAAUAUUAAUGUAUAACCACAGCAAAAUACAGUAAUCAAAGUAUUUUUUUGUUUGAAAAAUGUUUAUCAAUGUUUAUAUUUAGUUAUAUUCAGAGAAUUAGCCGAUUGAAAAACGUACAUUGAUGAAUUAUAUAUUGGCAGAAAGGCCAGGAAAUCCUAUACACAAACAUAUGCAAGUUAAUUUUGCUGCCUACCUAGAUAGAGAUACAAGAUUGUGAUCAGUGGGUAAGUAAUACAAUGUAGAUGAGAUACAAGAUCGUGAUUAGUGGGUAAAGAAGUCUAAAAGUAUUUCCCCCUCCCCCCAAGACACAAUUAUUAAUGGUUAGAAAUGAAUAAUUAAAUGAUGCAUAAUUAACAGUGAAUAAUUGUACAGUUAAUCACGAUAUCUUGUUGGUAUCAGGAGCCGUCCCAGAGUUCUUGGUAUUUUAGGUUGUGGGGGUGGCUCAACUGUUGUGUUGUCCAGCAGCCUUGCCGGGAUGUCGCCUUUUGUCUGGCCCCUAGGAUGACCUCGACUUUGCCAAUCUCUUCCCAGGUUUUGUUAUCCAUGAGGAAGGUUGGCUUUAAUCUGUUGAUGGAUACCCAGUUUUCCCGCCCAUGGAUGUCAGUAAGGUACAGGAAUGCCGAGCCUCUCUAGUGAUGUUCGGCACACUGAAACGGCUUAUCCAAGUUGAUAGUAAGGCUUCCAUGCAGGCACGUGUAGAUGCUUCUGCUAUCGGGGUUGCUUCCGGCCAUCACAUAGACCAGUCCAUGACUGUUAAGAGGUAUCUGGCGGCGGGCGUCGUCCCUCAGGAAGAUGUUUGUGCAGGUUUUCUAGUCCUUCUGGUCUGUAGUUGUGUGUCCUGUCCAUGAAAAUCUCCUGGCAGGGCGUGAACCUUUUCUAUUUCUCUUUCUGAGGGGCGUACCUCUGUCGUCUGGCUCCGUGGGGAACAGUUUCCUAGGAAGUGCCAGUGCUUUCCUGUAGAAUUUAUCUGCAGGAGAUUCUUCAUCAUUUGCCUUUAGUGCUGUUUGAAGUCCCAGCUGAACCCAGGGUAACUGCGCCUUCCAGUUUUUGUCAUUACACUGUGCCGUCAGUGUUGCUUUUAAUGAAUGUUGGGCCCUUUCCACCAUUCCGUUGGCCAUAGGGGUGUAUGCCGUUGUGCUGUGGAGUGUUGUCCCCCAUCAGGCAUGCCAUGGAGUGUUGAUUUCCUUUGGUAGAAAUAUAAAACUCCAGAAACUGCUUGCUGUGCUUUAUUCCUAUUCCUUUAGAAUUUCUAUAUAC